rnacentral:rRNA from 1 species
UACGGAAGGCAGCAGUGGGGAAUAUUGCACAAUGGGCGCAAGCCUGAUGCAGCCAUGCCGCGUGUAUGAAGAAGGCCUUCGGGUUGUAAAGUACUUUCAGCGGGGAGGAAGGCGAUGCGGUUAAUAACCGCGUCGAUUGACGUUACCCGCAGAAGAAGCACCGGCUAACUCCGUGCCAGCAGCCGCGGUAAUACGGAGGGUGCAAGCGUUAAUCGGAAUUACUGGGCGUAAAGCGCACGCAGGCGGUCUGUUAAGUCAGAUGUGAAAUCCCCGGGCUUAACCUGGGAACUGCAUUUUGAAACUGGCAGGCUUGAGUCUUGUAGAGGGGGUAGAAUUCCAGGUGUAGCGGUGAAAUGCGUAGAGAUCUGGAGGAAUCCGGUGGCGAAGGCGGCCCCUGGGACAAAGCUGACGCUCAGGUGCGAAAGCGUGGGGAGCAAACAGGAUUAGGAUACC